UAGAGCUGUUUCGGGGUCAAAUGAAAUAAUGAGUGUCAAAGGACUUUUAAAAAGUUGACAUGCUGAGCGUAUGAGUGGAUUAUUCAUACGUGGUUUUGUUUUCCAGUUUUUAUUUUCUCUCCUGCCUCUCAGAAGAGGUCUUUGUCUGCUUUGGUUGUGCCACUGCGUGCAGGGCCCAGAACCAGAGGCGCUUGGUUAAUAACCUUUUCCUCUGUUCUCUGCUGGGCUCCUGUUUCUCAGGCCUUUCAGGGAGACUCAUCACCUUUCCCUCUCUCAAAAUCAUCAAGCCCAGACUCAAGAGGGUGGGGAGUUUACCACGGCAGGAUUGCAAUGUUCAGAUCAAGACCAGCACCAGAAUGUAUUAAGCAGUUUUCUCGGGAAAUUGGUCAAGAAGAAUCCACUGGAGGUGUAUGAACUUUCCCAGUGGGGAGGCAGACCAGACCCUGCCAGAGGACAGCUGACGGGGUGGGGCUGUGAGUUCCAGGAAGCAGAGUGGAGGCCAGGCUGAGCGGGAAGGCUGGCAGGUAACCUGAAUCAAAGUCCACACAUACAUCAGCAAGGCCAAAGGGCAUAAACAGGGCCCCAGACCAGAGACACAGCCUAUGUCCAGGCAGAUCUGAGCUGGACUGGCUGAGAAGGGAGUGAGGAGCAAGCUGGGCGGCAGCAGGUUGACCUGGUGACUUGCUUCAACCAACAAGACACAGCAGCAGUGAUGUUCUGAUAUCUUUGUGGAGAUGUCCACGUGGAGAGGCACCGAGGCACCCCGCCUACAGGUGGCACUAACUGGCCAGCUGUACAAGUGAGUAACCUUAGCAAUGAUCCUCCAGUCCCAGCUGUCAUCUGAUGACUUCGGCCUCAGUCAACACCUGACUAAAGCCUCGUGGGAGACCCCAAGUGCGAAGUGCCCAACUGAGUCCUUCACAAAUUUCUGACUGAAAGAAACCAUAAGAGAAAAUAAAUUUUUGUUGUAGUUUUAUGUUAAUAUAUUUUGGGGGUAAUUUGUUAUAUAGUCAUAUAUAAUUAGUAAACAAUCUAUAUGGCCAUCAAUAGGGAAUUAUUUAAAUAUAUUACAGUACAUACAUAUAACGGCAACCAUGCAGCUGCUCAAAACAAUGAGGAAGUUGUUUAUGUUCUGAUAUGGGACAGCCCUCCAAGAUGAUUCAAGUGAGAAACGCAAAGUGCAAAAUAGUAUAUAGAGGACACUGCUGCUGCUGCUAAGUUGCGUCAGUCGCGUCCCACUCUGUGCGACCCCAUAGACGGCAGCCCACCAGGCUCCCCCGUCCCUGGGAUUCUCCAGGCAAGAACACUGGAGUGGGUUGCCAUUUCCUUCUCCAAUGCAUGAAAGUGAAAAGUGAAAAGUGAAAGUGAAGUUGCUCAGUCGUGUCCGACUCUUAGUGACCCCAUGGACUGCAGCCCACCAGGCUCCUCCGUCCAUGGGAUUUUCCAGGCAAGAGUACUGGAGUGGGGUGCCAUUGCCAUUUGUGAAAAAAAUUACGCAUAGACAUAUAUGUAUAUGUAGAGAGGGCUUCCCUGGUGGCUCAGACAGUAAAGAGGUCUGCCUGCAAUGCAGGAGACCUGGGUUUGAUACAUAUGCAUAUUAUUUUAUGUGUGUAUACACAUAAACGCAUACUACCUACAUGUGUAUAUGUGUGUAUAUAUAUAUAUAUAUAUGUAUGUAAAAUAUCUCUGGAAAGAACAUAAGACAUCGGUAACAGCAAUUGCCUCUGAGUAGGGGAACUGGUUGACUUUGGAACAGAGAUGGGGAUAUACCUUUUGAAUUUGGAUAUAAUACUGCAUCCUUGUGAGUAUACUAUCUAUUAAAAAAUAAAGUUGAAAAUUUUAAACAGUGCUCUCUCUUUGACUCAAAAAUUUCACCUCUUGGAAUUUAUUCAUAGUAGAUAAUCAUGGCAAAUAUUUAACUAUGAAGAUGUUGUUGCAGCUUCAUUCAAUAUCAUAAAAAUGGUAAAAUAAC
ensembl:lncRNA